rnacentral:rRNA from 1 species
AUUGAACGCUGGCGGCAGGCCUAACACAUGUAAGUCGAGCGGAUGAGAAGAGCUUGCUCUUCGAUUCAGCGGCGGACGGGUGAGUAAUGCCUAGGAAUCUGCCUGGUAGUGGGGGACAACGUUUCGAAAGGAACGCUAAUACCGCAUACGUCCUACGGGAGAAAGCAGGGGACCUUCGGGCCUUGCGCUAUCAGAUGAGCCUAGGUCGGAUUAGCUAGUUGGUGAGGUAAUGGCUCACCAAGGCGACGAUCCGUAACUGGUCUGGGAGGAUGAUCAGUCACACUGGAACUGAGACACGGUCCAGACUCCUACGGGAGGCAGCAGUGGGGAAUAUUGGACAAUGGGCGAAAGCCUGAUCCAGCCAUGCCGCGUGUGUGAAGAAGGUCUUCGGAUUGUAAAGCACUUUAAGUUGGGAGGAAGGGCAGUAAGUUAAUACCUUGCUGUUUUGACGUUACCGACAGAAUAAGCACCGGCUAACUCUGUGCCAGCCGCCGCAGUAAAAC